GGCGGUAUUUUAGUCUAUUCAGAGGAACCUGUUCUGUAAUCGAUAAUCCACGAUGGACCUUACUUAAGUUUGUAAUCAGUUUAUAUACCGUCGUUAUUAGAAUAUUUUACAAGAAUGUUAAUUUUCUAAAUUUUUUUUAAGAAAGUAUAUCAGAUCAAGGUGUAGCUAAUAUUUAAGUAGAAAUGGGUUACAAUAAAUUUAUUUAUACGGAUAUAAAUUUGAAAUAUUUAUUGAAGGUGGAUUUGAUAGUAAAAUUAUAAAGAUAAAUAAUUUGAUUUUAGCUCUAAAAUAUGCACACAUCGCCCGUCACUCUUAUUAAUAAGGUAAGAUAAGUCGUAACAUAGUAGAUGUACUGGAAAGUGUACCUAGAAUGCAAUUUAAAGCUUAUUUAGUAAAGCAUUUCAUUUACAUUGAAAAGAUUUUUGUGCAAAUCAAUAUAAAUUGAUUAGAUUUUAUUUAUUAAUUUUUUAUUUUUUAGUAUUGAAUUAUUAAAAAUAUUUAUAAGAUGGUUUGUUUUAGUAUUUAAAAAGAAAAAAUAAUUUUAAUUAUAGUUUAAUAGUAUUGUGAAAGAAAAUUGAAAUAAUUUGAAAAAUU
rnacentral:rRNA from 1 species